AAGUCGUAACAAGGUUUCCGUAGGUGAACCUGCGGAAGGAUCAUUAAUGAUUGGUGGCUGUUGCUGACUAGUGUUUCUAGUAUGUGCACGCCACACCUUCAAUCCCACUUACACCUGUGCACCUUCUGUAAUAGAUCUAUGUGGAUACGGAGAUAUGAAAGUUUGCGCUCUCGUACUCUGUUGAAGCAGUCUACUACGUUUUUUUACACACACACACAAUAGUCAUUGAAUGUAUUUUUUUUUAUUCUUAUGAUAAAAACAACUUUCAACAACGGAUCUCUUGGCUCUC
rnacentral:misc_RNA from 1 species